AUUUCGGUGGUCUUAUGGUUUUAGGACACUUGUACGGAAUACAAGAGAUCUGGGUUCAAAUCCCGGCACAGGUA
rnacentral:tRNA from 1 species